GGGCACUGCCUAAAAUAACCCAAUGGAUUCGAGAGUUGCAGCCAAAGAAGCAAACAAACAAAAAAGAGCCAAACAAAGAUGAUGAGCUUUAUGAGAUUAUAAACGGCAAGGGGGUAAAACAGCACCAGAAUGGGAAUCUAACAUCUGAAAGUCAUUUUCCAAAACUUCAUUCAGCACGGGAACAAUGCCGCAUUCAGGCGUAAUGAGCUGAGAAGGCGUGGUGCGCCAGGUCAAACUGGCGGUCUCUGAGCUCCUCUCAACGGAGUGCUUUGCCAAGAUUUCCUGCACAAAGUCGCAAAUGCACGUGCGUGCGAAAAAUCGCAAAAGAAGGGGAAGAGCGAGCGAUCAUCUUGGGAUUAUCCUAUAAAACAGAAACUGCAUAAGAGAAGAAAAUAACUGGCAAUCAAACCCCUGAGUGACUCCACAUUGCCUUUAAUUCUCCUCUAAUCAAAGGGCAGCACGCGGUUGUGAGAGAUGGCCAGAGCGGGGAGAGAUUAUGCAGAGAGUGACUUCAUUCAGAGAAAUCUUGGCACGAUUCCUAACCUCUUAGCCUGAGGGAGCAUUUCUAAAUUUUAUUUGUGUUCUUCACCUGAGAGAAUUGAUGCCUUCAAGAGCGCACAAGACAGAGGCUAAACAGACAUGCAAUAAAAUUAUCCUCCUUGGAUGGGUCAGGAGCUGCCUGAUAACUUAGUCUACGCCUACAUCAAUCCAGGAG
rnacentral:lncRNA from 1 species